AUUGAACGCUGGCGGCAUGCCUUACACAUGCAAGUCGAACGGUAGCAGGUCUUCGGAUGCUGACGAGUGGCGAACGGGUGAGUAAUACAUCGGAACGUGCCCGAUCGUGGGGGAUAACUACUCGAAAGAGUAGCUAAUACCGCAUACGAUCUACGGAUGAAAGCGGGGGAUCUUCGGACCUCGUGCGGACGGAGCGGCCGAUGGCAGAUUAGGUAGUUGGUGGGAUAAAAGCUUACCAAGCCGACGAUCUGUAGCUGGUCUGAGAGGACGACCAGCCACACUGGGACUGAGACACGGCCCAGACUCCUACGGGAGGCAGCAGUGGGGAAUUUUGGACGAUGGGCGAAAGCCUGAUCCAGCAAUGCCGCGUGCAGGAUGAAGGCCUUCGGGUUGUAAACUGCUUUUGUACGGAACGAAAAGACUCCUUCUAAUACAGGGGGUCCAUGACGGUACCGUAAGAAUAAGCACCGGCUAACUACGUGCCAGCCGCCGCAGUAACAC
rnacentral:rRNA from 1 species